rnacentral:rRNA from 1 species
AUGCUUUGGGCGUGGUCGGCGAACCCCUCGGCCAUCCCCAAGGUGUUGCAAGUUACCAUUGCCCCCCGCGUGACCACGGGUGUUGGUGGUGCCCCGUCCACGGCUGUUGGGCAUCGGGGCAUCCGGCGUCGAGCUAUCGUUCAUCUGGACAAGCUGGAGGACUACACACCAGACGCGGCUGGCAACAUUCCACGUCGCCCGCACACUGAUCCCUUCACCUGGAGAUAUGGUGUGGUGGACGGCGAGUCAAGGGUUCGAGACAGGCGUGAACCUCCGCCUCGACAUCGGGAUGACGAUGACCGGCACCGCCGCGACGACGACCACGACAGGGACGACGACCGGCGAGGCCGCGACAACGACCGGCCACGCUCCUCCUGGCGCGACCGUAUCUUCCGGAGCCGCUCCCGCGCCCCGGAACGCCGGAUUGAAGAUGAUCGCCACGGUUCACGUCGCGAGGAGCGUGGCGGUGAUCGUGGCCGCGAUGGACGACGCCGCUCCGGGGCGGCUCGUGGCCGCUCGCUGCCACCUUCUCCUCGCACCACUUCGAGCGACAUCAUCGAGCUUGCUCCGACUGGUUCAGCCUUGGGCUGGCUCUGUGGUGCGGCUCGCAUGGUCACCAAGGUCCAGCCAUCUCUUACAAUGGAAGAGCACCACGCCCCCAGCAAGGAGUCCACACAUGCCCAAGUGGUGCUGGACACAACUCAGCUUCAGGCGACGCUGCCAGAGAUGGCUCCAUAUGCAGGGAUCUCCACGCCAGAGUUCGUUUUGGCUACCCCCACCCCACCACGCCUGGGAUCAGAGCCAGAAGAACCUGCCAUCCUCACUCCGGAGCUUGUCCUCGCCACUGCAACCCCUACUCAGGAUGAGGGGAAUGGAGAUCACACCGAUGAAGCCUUGACUGCUGCAGUUGCUACCAAUGCCUCUCCAGAGUCUGCAACUCCUAUCUUCAUCCCGUACAUGCCGGCGCUGCUCCCGUCGCCACGUUCGACGCCGCCCAGACCUCCAGCAGCUCGACGGAAGACGCUGGCCGGGGUGACCGGCUUCCAGUUGCCACGACAGAGCCCUCGUCUCCGAGCAAAGAAAAGGAAGAUACCCAUAGCAAAGCUUGCUGAACAACUUCUUUGUCGCCGCAUGAACAUUGUGGCUGAGGGCGAGCAGGUCACAGAAGCGGCGAUUGCAAAAUUCGCACAGAUGUUCCAAGGCCAACUGCCAGAUAUUGCCGUUGCGGCCCUCCGCGCGCUCUUCCAGCUGGACUGCGACCUCUCCUCAGCAGUGGAGGAGGCGCUGGUGCAGCAUGGUGGAGAAGGAGGUCCAGAGUUGGACGAGACUGCCUCCACGGGUGCCUGA